rnacentral:rRNA from 1 species
CACGGGGGUACUCUACGGGAGGCAGCAGUGGGGAAUAUUGGACAAUGGGCGAAAGCCUGAUCCAGCCAUGCCGCGUGUGUGAAGAAGGUCUUCGGAUUGUAAAGCACUUUAAGUUGGGAGGAAGGGUUGUAGAUUAAUACGUUGCUGUUUUGACGUUACCGACAGAAUAAGCACGGCU